AUUGAACGCUGGCGGCAGGCUUAACACAUGCAAGUCGAGCGGAGUGAUGGUGCUUGCACUAUCACCUAGCGGCGGACGGGUGAGUAAUGCUUAGGAAUCUGCCAUUUAGUGGGGGACAAACUUCCGAAAGGAAUGCUAAUACCGCAUACGUCCUACGGGAGAAAGCAGGGGAUCUUCGUACCUUGCGCUAAAUGAUGAGCCUUAUUCGGAUUAGCUAGUUGGUGGGGUAAAGGCCUACCUAGGCGACGAUCUGUAGCGGGUCUGAGAGGAUGAUCCGCCACACUGGGACUGAGACACGGCCCAGACUCAUACGGGAGGCAGCAGUGGGGAAUAUUGAACAAUGGGCGGAAGCCUGAUCCAGCCAUGCCGCGUGUGUGAAGAAGGCCUUUUGGUUGUAAAACACUUUAAGCGAGGAGGAGGCUCUUCUAGUUAAUACCUAGGAUGAGUGGACGUUACUCGCAGAAUAAGCACCGGCUAACUCUGUGCCAGCCGCCGCAGUAACAC
rnacentral:rRNA from 1 species